GGGAGACAGUGUUGAGGGACUCCUCUCAGGUAGGGAGGACAGCCAUGAGAGCAGGUCCUGGAUCAGUGGGACUGACAUUGUUAUUGCAUCAUGCCAUGUAGAAUGUAGAGCUGGAAUGAGAGUUAACAUAGAGCCAGUGGCUGGUGGAGUCUGAUGAUUAAUGACAGGGUUGCUGUCAACAGAGUCGGUGAGAGAGGAGGGGCUGGAGUAUUAUGAUGACGUCAUCACUGAUGAGAUCAACCCUAAAAUGACCAAGGCAAUGGAGGAGACAAACGCGGCCAAUGAAGAAGUGGAGUAUUAUGAUGACAUCACAAAUGAGGUGAAUGACCUGAAGUUGACAGCAGGGAUGAUGACAGCAGACCAACUUCAGGAGAAUGAUAGUGUUGUCACUGGGAUUGAUUAUGAUGAUGUGGGGGUGGAGUCUGAGGAGUGACACUGGACAUGAAGAGGUCAGCAGAGGACUCCCAUCAGCUGUGGUGGACUAGAGCUCUGAGUUUAUCAUUGAGAG
ensembl:lncRNA